GAUGAACGCUGGCGGCGUGCCUAAUACAUGCAAGUCGAGCGAACGGACGAGAAGCUUGCUUCUCUGAUGUUAGCGGCGGACGGGUGAGUAACACGUGGAUAACCUACCUAUAAGACUGGGAUAACUUCGGGAAACCGUAGCUAAUACCGGAUAUUAUUUUGAACCGCAUGGUUCAAAAGUGAAAGACGGUCUUGCUGUCACUUAUAGAUGGAUCCGCGCUGCAUUAGCUAGUUGGUAAGGUAACGGCUUACCAAGGCAACGAUGCAUAGCCGACCUGAGAGGGUGAUCGGCCACACUGGAACUGAGACACGGUCCAGACUCCUACGGGAGGCAGCAGUAGGGAAUCUUCCGCAAUGGGCGAAAGCCUGACGGAGCAACGCCGCGUGAGUGAUGAAGGUCUUCGGAUCGUAAAACUCUGUUAUUAGGGAAGAACAUAUGUGUAAGUAACUGUGCACAUCUUGACGGUACCAAUCAGAAAGCCACGGCUAACUACGUG
rnacentral:rRNA from 1 species